CCCUUAGAUGUUCUGGGCCGCACGCGCGCUACACUGAUGCAUUCAACGAGUUCUUCCUGGUCCGAGAGGAAUGGGUAACCUUUUGAAAGUGCAUCGUGCUAGGGAUAGACUAUUGCAAUUAUUGGUCUUCAACGAGGAAUUCCUAGUAGACGUAGUUCAUCAGACUGCAUCGAUUACGUCCCUGCCCUUUGUACACACCGCCCGUCGCUCCUACCGAUUGGAUGAUCCGGUGAGCUAUUCGGACCUGUGCAUUUUCCAUUGGAACUUGCGUGGGAAAGUCUCGCGAACCUUAUCAUUUAGAGGAAGGAGAAGUCGUAACA
rnacentral:rRNA from 1 species